CCUACGGGAGGCAGCAGUGAGGAAUAUUGGUCAAUGGCCGUAAGGCUGAACCAGCCAAGUCGCGUGAAGGAAGAAGGAUCUAUAGUUUGUAAACUUCUUUUAUAGGGGAAUAAAGGUAUCCACGUGUGGAUCUUUGCAUGUACCCUAUGAAUAAGCAUCGGCUAACUCCGUGCCAGCAGCCGCGGUAAUACGGAGGAUGCGAGCGUUAUCCGGAUUUAUUGGGUUUAAAGGGUGCGUAGGUUGUUUUUUAAGUCAGCGGUGAAAGUUUGUGGCUCAACCAUAAAAUUGCCAUUGAAACUGGAAGACUUGAGUGUGUUUGAGGUAGGCGGAAUGCGUGGUGUAGCGGUGAAAUGCAUAGAUAUCACGCAGAACUCCGAUUGCGAAGGCAGCUUACUAAGCCAUAACUGACACUGAAGCACGAAAGCGUGGGGAUCAAACAGGAUUAGAUACCCGGGUAGUC
rnacentral:rRNA from 1 species